rnacentral:rRNA from 1 species
GGGGGAUAGAGGCUUUGGGAAAUGGUCACCAAGGCGACGAUCCGUAACUGGUCUGAGAGGAUGAUCAGUCGCACUGGAACUGAGACACGGUCCAGACUCCUACGGGAGGCAGCAGUGGGGAAUAUUGGACAAUGGGCGAAAGCCUGAUCCAGCCAUGCCGCGUGUGUGAAGAAGGUCUUCGGAUUGUAAAGCACUUUAAGUUGGGAGGAAGGGCAGUAAGUUAAUACCUUGCUGUUUUGACGUUACCGACAGAAUAAGCACCGGCUAACUCUGUGCCAGCAGCCGCGGUAAUACAGAGGGUGCAAGCGUUAAUCGGAAUUACUGGGCGUAUUUCGCGCGUAGGUGGUUCGUUAAGUUGGAUGUGAAAGCCCCGGGCUCAACCUGGGAACUGCAUCCAAAACUGGCGAGCUAGAGUAUGGUAGAGGGUGGUGGAAUUUCCUGUGUAGCGGUGAAAUGCGUAGAUAUAGGAAGGAACACCAGUGCGGGACAAACAAUCCAAA